rnacentral:rRNA from 1 species
UGUAACAAGGUUUCCGUAGGUGAACCUGCGGAAGGAUCAUUACCGAGUGCGGGCCCUCGCGGCCCAACCUCCCACCCUUGUCUCUAUACACCUGUUGCUUUGGCGGGCCCACCGGGGCCACCUGGUCGCCGGGGGACGCACGUCUCCGGGCCCGCGCCCGCCGAAGCGCUCUGUGAACCCUGAUGAAGAUGGGCUGUCUGAGUACUGUGAAAAUUGUCAAAACUUUCAACAAUGGAUCUCUUGGUUCCGGCAUCGAUGAAGAACGCAGCGAAAUGCGAUAAGUAAUGUGAAUUGCAGAAUUCCGUGAAUCAUCGAAUCUUUGAACGCACAUUGCGCCCCCUGGCAUUCCGGGGGGCAUGCCUGUCCGAGCGUCAUUUCUGCCCUCAAGCACGGCUUGUGUGUUGGGUGUGGUCCCCCCGGGGACCUGCCCGAAAGGCAGCGGCGACGUCCGUCUGGUCCUCGAGCGUAUGGGGCUCUGUCACUCGCUCGGGAAGGACCUGCGGGGGUUGGUCACCACCAUGUUUUACCACGGUUGACCUCGGAUC